CAGUCGCCAGGGAAUACGAAGGGGGCUAGCGUUGUUCGGAAUUACUGGGCGUAAAGCGCACGUAGGCGGAUAUUUAAGUCAGGGGUGAAAUUCCAGAGCUCAACUCUGGAACUGCCUUUGAUACUGGGUAUCUUGAGUAUGGAAGAGGUGAGUGGAAUUCCGAGUGUAGAGGUGAAAUUCGUAGAUAUUCGGAGGAACACCAGUGGCGAAGGCGGCUCACUGGUCCAUUACUGACGCUGAGGUGCGAAAGCGUGGGGAGCAAACAGGAUUAGAUACCCCCGUAGUCCCUGUCUCUUAUACA
rnacentral:rRNA from 1 species